GACGAACGCUGGCGGCGUGCUUAACACAUGCAAGUCGAACGAUGACGACCGAGCUUGCUCGGUCUGAUUAGUGGCGAACGGGUGAGUAACACGUGAGCAACCUGCCCUUCACUCUGGGAUAACCUCGGGAAAUCGGGGCUAAUACCGGAUAUGAGCUCCUGUCGCAUGGCGGGUGUUGGAAAGUUUUUCGGUGAAGGAUGGGCUCGCGGCCUAUCAGUUUGUUGGUGAGGUAGUGGCUCACCAAGGCGAUGACGGGUAGCCGGCCUGAGAGGGCGACCGGCCACACUGGGACUGAGACACGGCCCAGACUCCUACGGGAGGCAGCAGUGGGGAAUAUUGCACAAUGGGCGAAAGCCUGGUGCAGCGACGCCGCGUGAGGGAUGACGGCCUUCGGGUUGUAAACCUCUUUCAGCAGGGAAGAAGCGAAAGUGACGGUACCUGCAGAAGAAGCGCCGGCUAACUACGUG
rnacentral:rRNA from 1 species